GAUGAACGCUGGCGGCGUGCCUAAUACAUGCAAGUCGAGCGAACGGACGAGGAGCUUGCUUCUCUGAUGUUAGCGGCGGACGGGUGAGUAACACGUGGAUAACCUACCUAUAAGACUGGGGUAACUUCGGGAAACCGGAUCUAAUACCGGAUAAUAUUUUGAACCUCAUGGUUCAAAAGUGAAAGACGGUCUUGCUGUCACUUAUAGAUGGAUCCGCGCUGCAUUAGCUAGUUGGUAAGGUAACGGCCUACCAAGGCAACGAUGCAUAGCCGACCUGAGAGGGUGAUCGGCCACACUGGAACUGAGACACGGUCCAGACUCCUACGGGAGGCAGCAGUAGGGAAUCUUCCGCAAUGGGCGAAAGCCUGACGGAGCAACGCCGCGUGAGUGAUGAAGGUCUUCGGAUCGUAAAACUCUGUUAUUAGGGAAGAACAUAUGUGUAAGUAACUGUGCACAUCUUGACGGUACCUAAUCAGAAAGCCACGGCUAACUACGUG
rnacentral:rRNA from 1 species